rnacentral:tRNA from 1 species
CCAGGUAUAGGUCAGUGGUAGAGUGUGUGUGCACUUAGCAUGCACAAGGUCCUGGGUUCAAUCCCCAGUACCUCCA